AUACUUACCUGGCACGGGAGGUGCUAUGAACACGAAGGUGAUUUUCCCAGGGCAAGGCUUACCAUUGCACUCUGGGUAUGCUGAUCCUAAGAUUUCCCCAAAUGCAGGAAACUUGACUGCAUAAUUCAUGAUAGUGGGGGACUGGGAUCUUGCUCUUCCCUG